AUCAGCAAUUGCCAUUGCAGGAAGUUCAUCAGCAAAGGAGAUGAGCACGCUCUUGGUUCAGGCUGGCCUCUUUGACACUGCCAUAUCACUCUGUCAGACUUUUAAGCUUCCAUUAACACCGGUCUUUGAAGGGCUUGCUUUCAAGUGCAUUAAGUUGCAGUUUGGAGGAGAAGCAGCACAGGGAGAAGCCUGGGCCUGGCUAGCAGCCAAUCAGCUCUCUUCUGUCAUCAAAUUUUGAUGACUGUAAAUGAUGUGUACGGCGCCUGAGUCUGCAUUCUGCACAACAUAAGAGAACAAAAGUCAGGACCGACCCUGUGCUUGCUUGUGGUGCUAACACGGUUUCUGCUUUUCAAACUUCGUCUCUAACAGCUGCUUUUGUAUAUGAUUCUCAACCUUUUUCAGAGUUUAUAUUUUUUUAAACUACCGAAGCCAUCCUUUAUCUGCAAACAAAAAAGUCACCUUCACUUUCCAUAAUAGCUAUGAUUGUUGGCUUGUUAUAGCUGACCACC
rnacentral:lncRNA from 1 species